UUCGAUGAUACGCGAGGAACCGUUACCUGGGCUCGAACGUAAGAUGACUGUAGGUGAAAGCUUACAUCUCUUCGGAGCAUUUUACGAGGUGCUGCAUGGUUGUCGUCAGCUCGUGCCGUGAGGUGUCGGGUUAAGUCCCAUAACGAGCGCAACCCUACCUUUAGUUGCCAUCAGGUAAUGCUGGGGACUCUAAAGGAACUGCCUACGCAAGUAGUGAGGAAGGCGGGGAUGACGUCAAAUCAGCACGGCCCUUACGUCCAGGGCUACACACGUGCUACAAUGGCCGAUACAGAGGGCAGCUACCUGGUGACAGGAUGCAAAUCUCCAAAGUCGGUCUCAGUUCGGAUCGGAGUCUGCAACCCGACUCCGUGAAGUUGGAUUCGCUAGUAAUCGCGCAUCAGCCAUGGCGCGGUGAAUACGUUCCCGGGCCUU
rnacentral:rRNA from 1 species